rnacentral:lncRNA from 1 species
CCAGAAAAAACCAAACAAUCGAUUGUCUGUUUUGACAAUCGAUUGUCUGUUCCAGUAACUUAAAAUUUUUCCUUGUCACAUCUAGUGACUUAAAAUUUUUCCAGAAAAAACCAAACAAUCGAUUGUCUGUUUUGACAAUCAAUUGUCUGGUCCAGUAACUUAGAAAAAUUUUUCCAUGUCACAUCCAGUGACUUAAAAUUUUUCCAGAAAAAACCAAACAAUCGAUUGUCUG